AUUAGCUUGGCAGAAAUAUAAAUGUAUUUGAUUUAGAAUCAAAAUGUGGUGAGGAAUCAGUUAAUU
rnacentral:tRNA from 1 species